rnacentral:lncRNA from 1 species
AGUCACCUGGAUGAAUCUCCAGAGAAUUAUGCUGAGUGAAAAGAGCCAAGCCCAAAGAUGACCUACUGUUCGAUUCCAUUUAUAUAACGUUCGUGAAAUGGUCUGCCUAUGCUGGACUUGAAGCUUUCUGUCUGUCAAAAAAUAAAAGAAGAUGGAAGGAAGGAUGUACAGAAGGAAGAAAAAAAAAAGAAAGAACCUGUGACUAUGAAGCAUGAAUCAGCAUUGCCAGUGAUGACUGCACAUCUUUAGUAUAAAUGCAAGAAAGGUUUAGUAUUCAGAGAAUGACCUGAACUUAGCUGUGUUAAGUUGCCUGCUCCACAGGAAACCACCUCUGUAACUGUUGCUUGCUGCUUUCUCUUUAGGCAACACCCAAAGCCACUGUCAGAUGUCAUGGAGAUGAGACCUCACAAGGAGGCCAGAAAACAACAGACUAACUCCGGAUAUGACAAACUCUUUAUAAAUACUUAUAAGUACUGUUGGCUACAAUAGUUCUAAAGCCUUAACAAAUGAUGUUGAAGCAAAAUGAAUAAUGAUUAUUCCUAUUCUACUCAACGUGAAGAUGAUGAGAAUGAAGACCUUUAUGAUGAUCUGCUUCCACUUAAAGAAUAGUAUUUGGCUGACUCCUGGACUAUGCAAGCACAAGAAGAGAUUUCAGAAGGUUUGGAAGAGAGUCUCUUCUGAGAGGCUGAGGGCUAAGAAGACUGCCCUGUGCAGGAAAGAUGUUGGAGUGCAAGCCCAUCUGGAAUGGAGAGACCUCGAUGAAACACAUAGGCAAUUAAUUAGAUCCCAGAAAGGCCACACUGUGCAAGACCCUGAGGUAUCAUGAAGAAAUCCAUAUGCCCUGAAGUUACCAUCCUAGAGACAUCAUUUGGAGAGACUACAGUGCACAGAAGUAGAGAGGCCCAGCUGUGCCUGUCCCCAACUGAUGGAGUCUUCUCAGUGUCAGUCACCAGACAUGUUUUGAUAUUUCUUUUCUAAAAAUAUUGGAGGCCUUAAUCAAGAGGAUCCUUGAAACAUAUCCACCUGACAGUUGGAGGACAAUUCUAUACCCCUAGAGGUCUUUCAUAAGUAGCAUACGGAUAUUCAUUUUUGAUCAAAUUUGGGGAAUCUCUAUUUCAAUAAUGAAGGUUGAUGACUUUUGAUAAAUGUGAACUGCUGCAUAACCAUCAUCACAAUGGAGAUUCAGAACAUUUCCAUCAUUUCAGAAAGCUUUCUCAUGCCACUUUGUAGCCACCCUGAAACAAGAUGGUGCUGGUAACAUCAUAGGAAAUUAGAUCUAGAAGAUGUGGUCUAGUCUCUUCUCUUGCAUACUCAUGGUGUCAUUGGCUUUGGCCAAUGGGAUGUCAGAAAAUGUGAUGCAGCAGAGACUUGAAGAUGCACUGCAGAGACUAGAUUUAUUCUUUUCUGCUGCAGCAAUUGCCAUGAAGUUGCAGUCCCAGCCUAGCCUGCUGGCCCCAGGAUGAGGGUGAGACCCAUCAUGAUCUGAAGGCAGCGGUGGUUGCUGGUGGAGGAUGUGAGCUUUGGAACUGGAGCUCUUUGAUUCAAAGCUCUGCCGCUUACUCACUGGAUAAGACCAUGAUCAAGUUAUUUCAUCUGAAAAAUUGAGGUGACUGCAGGUAACUGAAACUGCGGAAAGUGAAACUGCAGAUAAGAGGGACCACUGUAAAUAAGUGACAUGAAUGAUACUGCAAAGGACCAUAGCCUAACCAGCCAAGCAAACUGGAAGUACCUUUAGACUCACGCUUUGCCAAGCUCAGUUCCAGAAUCACAUGAUGAAAAGAAUGAUGGAAAGAAAAUGUUUGUGAUAUUAAAAUUAAGGAAAUUACUCCAACUCAGAGGUUCAUCCUAAACUGAGAGACCAACAUCAAAAGAAUCUUCUCAAGUUUCUGAGUGACGGCAAGAAACUAGACUACUGUUACCAAGGAACUUUUUAAAGCAAACUGCUUUUGCUGAUAUGAGGAGAAAGUUAAUUAAUAAGAAAAUACCUUAAAUGUGUUUUGAAGCUGUUAAAGGUGUGUAACAAUUACUCUGAAUUUAUUAUAGCACCAGUUAGAGACCCAGGAAAACUAUAAAAUUGCACAUCAGGGCAGAGCUGAGAGACGACAUCUGCUUUGGGAUUGAAAAAAAAAAAAAAAAAAAAAAAAACAGAAAGGGAACAAGAGAAAUAGCAAGUCAUUUAACAUUUGGAAUUCAGGACUCCAGACUCAUCUAUAGGACCAAACUGCUCUUGAAAUAUACUAGAUUUCCUUUAGCUCCAGAGGUUUUGCCUUCAUCAAAUGCCUGUAACACUCUUAUUGUCAAAAGGAAUAAGUGAUGGUGAACACUGUGCCAGAUAGGAGGUACCACACACAGGUUCAGCAAAAAGCAGAAGCAAGAGGUAUAUUUUUUGUUAGAUCUUAGUUCAUCCCUAUGUAACAGACAUUUCAGGGAAGGGAGGAGAAAAUAACAAAGCUACCUAUGAGCAAAGGUAAAUGGGAUUCCCUAUCCUUGUUUCCCAGUUUCGGUCAUGGUAUUGCUUAUCCAUUAUUAGUUAUCCACUGCUGGGUAACAAAUUACUCCCAAACUUAGCAGCUUCAAACAACAAUAAACAUGUAUUAUGUCACAUAGUUUGUUUCAGAACUUUGGGAGUGGCUUAGCUGAAUGGUUGUAGCUCCAGGUGCUUUUUGUGGUUGCAGUCAAGAAGUCAGCCCAUUCACACAGCUGCAGACAAAAGGACUCGGUUCCUUGCAGGCUGAGGCCUGAUUAGGCAGGGGGCCUGAGUGUCUCGCCACAUGGACCUCUCCAUAGGGCUGCUUUUCGUGGCAUGGCAGCUGACUCCCCUCAGAACAGAUGAUCAAAAGCAGCAAAAGAGAAGCCUCACAUGACUUUUGCCCUAGCCUUGGGAAUCACACUCUUCCAUUUCUACAAAAUCCUAUUGGUUACAUAGCAGCCCUAUCCAGUGUGGGAGGGAACUGUAUACAGGCAUGAAUACCAGGAGUGGAAAACCACUAGAGACUGGCUACCAUGGUCACUUACACACC